AUCACAUCCCUCCUGUGGUCUUUUGAAGUUCAUCGUUCGCAAUGACCGGUGGAAAAUUCAUUGCGAUGGCAGCUAUCCUGGGUCUUCUCCUCCUUCCGCUGGCAUUUGCUGGACGCCUCCUACCCCCAGAUGAAGUGCACGUCCGUGGCGUUUUAUCAUCAUCAGUUGGCCAUCUGCGGGCACGCAGUAUCAUAAACGUGAUAGAGAUUAUUCCAGCAGCAUCUCCUGAUGGACAGCACGCGUUGUCACCUCGUUAGAAGUAACUGCUCCGAUUUGAGCCAACUGCAGGAAUCGUUAAAUAAGUUCGGAUGCUUUGGUAGUCUCAAUCAAUGCAUCAAUUUACGAUUGUUGGAUGCAUAUAAUAGUACACGUAUACGCGCUUGUCAUGAACGGUUUAUUGGUUUGUAACAAUAAUAUUUUGUAUUUGGCUGGAUCUCAUUGGCAUUUUGCUAUACAUCAGAUUUAGAAUUUAAUGGAAGGUAUGAGAUUGUCAUGAGCGAAA